AACUGAGGUACUUCUAAGCCUGGUCGCUUACCCUAGGGCCUCUCCUGGCUGACAUCACUGUCAUUUCUGAAAGUUUCGUGGGGCUGAUUCUGGGCACAGGAAACAGCGGCCUGAGAUCAGUUUUCAUCUUGGAAGCUACAGCAUUUCUGAGUUGGCAGGAGAUUCUGUUUCCAGUUAACACCCCAGCAAAUUUGGCAAUGAGAGUAAG